GGUCCGUUCGUCUAGUGGCCUAGGAUGCCACCCUUUCAAGGUGGAGACACGGGUUCGAACCCCGUACGGACUG
rnacentral:tRNA from 1 species